rnacentral:rRNA from 1 species
GCGGACGGGUGAGUAAUGCCUAGGAAUCUGCCUGGUAGUGGGGGAUAACGUUCGGAAACGGACGCUAAUACCGCAUACGUCCUACGGGAGAAAGCAGGGGACCUUCGGGCCUUGCGCUAUCAGAUGAGCCUAGGUCGGAUUAGCUAGUUGGUGAGGUAAUGGCUCACCAAGGCUACGAUCCGUAACUGGUCUGAGAGGAUGAUCAGUCACACUGGAACUGAGACACGGUCCAGACUCCUACGGGAGGCAGCAGUGGGGAAUAUUGGACAAUGGGCGAAAGCCUGAUCCAGCCAUGCCGCGUGUGUGAAGAAGGUCUUCGGAUUGUAAAGCACUUUAAGUUGGGAGGAAGGGCAGUUACCUAAUACGUGAUUGUUUUGACGUUACCGACAGAAUAAGCACCGGCUAACUCUGUGCCAGCAGCCGCGGUAAUACAGAGGGUGCAAGCGUUAAUCGGAAUUACUGGGCGUAAAGCGCGCGUAGGUGGUUUGUUAAGUUGGAUGUGAAAUCCCCGGGCUCAACCUGGGAACUGCAUUCAAAACUGACUGACUAGAGUGUGGUAGAGGGUGGUGGAAUUUCCUGUGUAGCGGUGAAAUGCGUAGAUAUAGGAAGGAACACCAGU